GACGAACGCUGGCGGCGUGCUUAACACAUGCAAGUCGAGCGGUAAGGCCCUUUCGGGGGUACGACGAGCGGCGAACGGGUGAGUAACACGUGGGUGACCUGCCCUCAGCUCUGGGAUAAGCCUGGGAAACCGGGUCUAAUACCGGAUAUGACUCCAUGACGCAUGUUGUGGGGUGGAAAGCCUUGUGCGGCUGAGGAUGGGCCCGCGGCCUAUCAGCUUGUUGGUGGGGUGAGGCCUACCAAGGCGACGACGGGUAGCCGGCCUGAGAGGGCGACCGGCCACACUGGGACUGAGACACGGCCCAGACUCCUACGGGAGGCAGCAGUGGGGAAGUCUUGCGCAAUGGGCGAAAGCCUGACGCAGCGACGCCGCGUGAGGGAUGACGGCCUGGUGUAAC
rnacentral:rRNA from 1 species